rnacentral:rRNA from 1 species
AUGAACGCUGGCGGCGUGCUUAAUACAUGCAAGUCGAACGAAGACAGUAGCAAUAUUGUCUGAGUGGCGAACGGGUGAGUAACGCGUUGGUGACCUGCCCCGAAGAGAGGGAUAACAGUCCGAAAGGAUUGCUAAUACCCCAUGUGGUCAUUUGGAUUAGAUGCCUUAUGACUAAACGGAUUUAUUCGCUUCGGGAGGGGCCUGCGUCCCAUCAGCUAGUUGGUAAGGUAAUGGCUUACCAAGGCGAUGACGGGUAGGGGACCUGAGAGGGUGGCCCCCCACAAUGGAACUGAAACACGGUCCAUACACCUACGGGUGGCAGCAGUAGGGAAUAUUGGUUAAUCUGGGGAACCGGGAACCAGCAACGCCGCGUGCACGAUGAAGGCCUUCGGGUUGUAAAGUGCUUUUUGAAAGGAUGAGGAAGGACAGUACUUUCAGAAUAAGCUUCGGCUAACUACGU